CAGAAUAUAGCUUAAAUAAAGCAUUUUGCUUACACCAAAAAAAUAUCACUCAAAAGAUUAUUCUG
rnacentral:tRNA from 2 species